UACGAAGGGGGCUAGCGUUGCUCGGAAUCACUGGGCGUAGAGCGCACGUAGGCGGAUUGCUAAGUCAGGGGUGAAAUCCUGGAGCUCAACUCCAGAACUGCCUUUGAUACUGGAGAGCUUGAGUCCGGGAGAGGUGAGUGGAACUCCGAGUGUAGAGGUGAAAUGCGUAGAUAUCGUAAGGAAGACCAGUGGCGAAGGCGGGUCUCUGGACAGUUCCUGACGCUGAGGCACGAAGGUCAGGGGAGCAAACGGG
rnacentral:rRNA from 1 species